rnacentral:misc_RNA from 1 species
GAUGAAGAACGCAGCGAAAUGCGAUACUUGGUGUGAAUUGCAGAAUCCCGUGAACCAUCGAGUCUUUGAACGCAAGUUGCGCCCGAAGCCACUAGGCCGAGGGCACGCCUGCCUGGGCGUCACACGUCGUUGCCCCCCACCAUCUACUCCUUCGGGAUUGCGGGGGGCGGAUGAUGGCCUCCCGUGCGCCUAGCCGCGCGGUUGGCAUAAAUACCAAGUCCUCGGCGACGCACGCCACGACAAUCGGUGGUUGCGAAACCUCGGUUGCCCGUCGUGUGCGUUCGUCGCGCAUCGAGGGCUCGAAAAAAUGCUCGGCUCCGGCUCGGCUUUCAACGCGCCCCCAGGUCAGGCGGGGUUACCCGCUGAAUUUAAGCAUAUCAAUAAGCGGAGGA